UUGCAUUUGAAGCCCAUGAGGAUGAGAACCUCCGGGGGCGGGGAGGUUCGACUCGAGCGAAGCGAGAGAACGUUGCGCCAGCAACGGCCCGCAGGGCGAGCCACGAAGUG
rnacentral:sRNA from 1 species